rnacentral:misc_RNA from 1 species
UAAAGAAGCAGGAUCAAGUUCAAAUGAUCCCACAGGUACACCCUCUUUUUCAGUUCCAGUCAUUCUGAAUGAUGGGAUUUGAUGAGAGAACUUAUAAAGUUCAUUUGGCUUUACCAAAAAUGAGCCAUCCUUAGUCUGGCUGGUGGGUUCGAAAAGGCUAACAAAUCCACUCACCUUAUCCAGGUAAUUUACUUUUAUACCAACAUCCUUGACAAAAUCAGAAAGUACCUCCACAAUCUCAUACUUGUACUUACUAUGUUUUUCUGGGUCGGAGCUCCAACUGACAUCCCAAUUUUUAAAGAGAGCCCAUGUCUCCCCUUUCCUAGGAUAUACAAUGAAUGCACCUCUCUUACCCUUUGUGAACUGCACUAGAUGAGAGAAUGUAAGACGAUCAUUACUGAUUUGAGAACUCCCACGUUUAAAUUUCCCACAACCAGCAGGCAAUUCUGCCUCUACCCACUCCAUGUCUCUUCGAUCCUCUGGAUUAGCCUCAAGCCAGGUGAACCGUAGCUCAAAUUCAGGAGACGAAACUCUCCUAAUCUGACAAUAGAAUCUUGGCAUUCCAUCAGCUGUAUCAUAACAAGCCCAGAUUUGGUCAACAGCAAAGCAACUUUCUUCCCUAUGCUUAUCAAAAUCACUGAACUCUGGAUCAGGACAAUCAUAUAUCUCUGGAGGAUUAUCAGAAAGUUCACUAUCUGGUUCUGAAUCAGAAUCAACAA